rnacentral:rRNA from 1 species
UACGUAGGGUGCAAGCGUUGUCCGGAAUUAUUGGGCGUAAGGAGCUCGUAGGCGGUUCGUCGCGUCGGCUGUGAAAUCCCGAGGCUCAACCUCGGGUCUGCAGUCGAUACGGGCGGACUGGAGUUCGGCAGGGGAGACUGGAAUUCCUGGUGUAGCGGUGAAAUGCGCAGAUAUCAGGAGGAACACCGGUGGCGAAGGCGGGCUCCUGGGACCGAUGACUGACGCUGAGGAGCGAAAGC